UGGGAAAUGGUGUUAGUUCCAUGUAAAGCACUCUUGGUCUCGGAGGAUUUAACAAAUUGUUAAACGAUAAGUACACGCAGACAUCAAUAAAUAUCUUUAUUUAUUUCUCUAUAUGUAUAUACAUCCCCAUUACUUAAAACAACUCCUAAAAAGUUUUGAAUUUACUCUGCUUUGAGGAGUAAUUAUUAAAAUUAGAAGAAAAUUAAGUUUAUGCUUUUUUCCAUUGUUUCAGAAACAGAAUUUGAGAAUAUCUUCAAUUAGCCUAUUGGAGAUCAAAUCCAGUUUCCUAGCUUCAAAAGAGACAUGUGGUUGCUAAAAUUUGUUGGGAAUUAACUAGGAAGUGUUUUGAGUACCCUGCAUAGUGUCAUCCAAGAUUCAGGACUCAUGUAGGUUAGAGCAUGGGUUCCCAGUCGCUUCGACCUACUUUAAUUUAUCGCAAGGGCCAAGCUACUAUGCCCUUGCUUGGUAGUUCCUGACAUAGAAUUAUUCACAUGAUAAAGGUUCUAUUUCCAAACAUGAGUCUCUGAAUGUGGUGUUUGUUGUGUUCUGUGACAAAUUCUUGAUCUAAUUAGAAAUCCUAGAGUCGAGGUUUGACAUCUAGAAUUUGAAUUUUUGCUACUAAAUUUCCUGAAUCUAGCUCCUAUUUUUUUUUCCAAAGUUUAUUUUACACAUUCUUUAAGCAAUUUAAUGAGUGGAGUUCAGAAUUUAUUCUGAAGUGAUUCUCUUCUUUGGCAAAGACUGAUGGAAAGAGUUUUGCGGUGGUGACUUAGACGACAGAACCAGUGAGUUGGUUGCUGGACUCAAUCGAAUUACGCUCACUUGCAUUAACUGAUGAGUUAUUGGCCAUUCAACAGCAAGGCCCUCAAGCUAUUGGCUUCUUUGGGACAGGAAACAUGGGAUUUAUGCAUCAGGAACUAAUUGAGAUUCUUAGCUAUGCAAUGGUUACAGCCAUAAGAUGCUGUGAAUGUGUUACGAGUCGUUUUAUAUUGAAUUUGACUGCUGACAUCUUGCGAAGUUGUAUCUCUAUUGUUUAAGAGGCAGAUACUCAAUACUAUAGCUUGACCUUUUUGACUUUAGGUUGAGGAUUGUAGUUAGCUAUGGAAUGCCAGCACCAAAUAUUCAUUUUCAAUUUAUAGAUAAAGUCUUUUGUCUUGAGAGUA